rnacentral:rRNA from 1 species
GAUGAACGCUAGCGGCAGGCCUAACACAUGCAAGUCGAGGGAGGAGCCUUCGGGCUUCGACCGGCGUACGGGUGCGUAACGCGUAUACAAUCUGCCUUUCACAUAGGGAUAGCCCGAAGAAAUUUGGAUUAAUACCUAAUGGUAUAUAGAUGUGGCAUCACCUUUAUAUUAAAGCUGAGGCGGUGAAAGAUGGGUAUGCGUUCUAUUAGCUAGUUGGAGAGGUAACGGCUCCCCAAGGCGACGAUAGAUAGGGGUUCUGAGAGGGAUAUCCCCCACACUGGUACUGCGAUACGGACCAGACUCCUACGGGAGGCAGCAGUGAGGAAUAUUGGACAAUGGUCGGAAGACUGAUCCAGCCAUGCCGCGUGCAGGAAGACGGCCUUAUGGGUUGUAAACUGCUUUUGCAGGGGAAGAAUAAGGACUACGCGUAGUUUGAUGACGGUACUCUGCGAAUAAGCAUCGGCUAACUCCGUG